rnacentral:rRNA from 1 species
AUACGUAGGGUGCGAGCGUUGUCCGGAAUUACUGGGCGUAAAGAGCUCGUAGGUGGUUUGUCGCGUCGUCUGUGAAAUUCCGGGGCUUAACUCCGGGCGUGCAGGCGAUACGGGCAUAACUUGAGUACUGUAGGGGAGACUGGAAUUCCUGGUGUAGCGGUGAAAUGCGCAGAUAUCAGGAGGAACACCGGCGGCGAAGGCGGGUCUCUGGGCAGUAACUGACGCUGAGGAGCGAAAGCAUGGGUAGCGAACAGGAUUAGAUACCCUGGUAGUCCAUGCUGUAAACGGUGGGCGCUAGGUGUAGGGGUCUUCCACGACUUCUGUGCCGUAGCUAACGCAUUAAGCGCCCCGCCUGGGGAGUACGGCCGCAAGGCUAAAACUCAAAGGAAUUGACGGGG